UCCAACCUGUAAAAAUGUCAACCCUACACCAGAUAUAUGGCCUCCUUGAAUGUAUAAUCCAAUUCGAUGUUCAUAUCCGAUCAAACAAAGGGGCCUUGUGGCCUUUCUUUCUCUAUCCCUAAGUAUGCAGUUCAACCUCUUAUUAAAUGUGGCACCAUAGACAUACACGUUUCAUAUUUAGCAUCAAACUUUCAACCUCAAUAUAACAUUCAACCACAACAAAACAUUCAAUCUCUUAUUAACCCUGCUUAAUAGUACACUCGAGCAAUAAAUUUAUAAAAAAAACACGCAAAAAGUAACAAACGGUCCAGCUGGUCACAUUAUGGAACACCAAAAGGGGGGAUCCAUACACGGAUGCAGUUCAUAAUUUCCCAAGAGAGUACAAGUGCCUUGGGUGACAAGGCUGGCCGCAAAAACUACCUGGUCCUCUCCAUUACAACGUGUAAGCUGCCCAUGCUGAAAU